rnacentral:rRNA from 1 species
UACGAAGGGGGCUAGCGUUGUUCGGAUUUACUGGGCGUAAAGGGCGCGUAGGCGGACAGUUUAGUCAGAGGUAAAAGCCCAGGGCUCAACCUUGGAACUGCCUUUGAUACUGACUGUCUUGAGUUCGGGAGAGGUGAGUGGAAUGCCGAGUGUAGAGGUGAAAUUCGUAGAUAUUCGGCGGAACACCAGUGGCGAAGGCGACUCACUGGCCCGAUACUGACGCUGAGGCGCGAAAGCGUGGGGAGCAAACAGGG